CUUACUAUGCUGGGUGAUGAAUUGGCUCGAUGGUAGAGCUCAAAGGGUUCUAGUAAAUGGGGCUACAUCUGUCUGGCAGAUGGUAACUUAAAGCAAUGUUCCCCAGGGCUCAAUUCUAGAGGUAAUCCUUUUCCUUUUUAUCAGUUGUAUGGGUGCAGGAGUGGAAAGUAUCCUCAGGAAGUCUGCCAAUGAUACUAACCUGGGAAGUGCUAUUGACUCCCUGUAGGGACGAGAGGCCUUGCAGAGGGAUCUAGAUGUGUUGGAGCACUGGAUUAUUAGAAAUAACAUGAAAUUCAACGAAGGUAAAUGCUGAGUGCUGCACCUGGGACAGAGCAAUGCUGGACACAAGCAGAGAUGGGAGCUGAGUGGCUGGAGAACAGCUCAGCAGAAGGGACCUGGGCUGCUGGUGAGAGCAGAUCAGCAUGAGCCAGCAGUGUGUCCUGGCAGCCAAGGGGCGAAUUACAUCUUAGUGUGAAUUAAACAAAAUGCUGACAGAUGGAGGGGGAGGAGCCAGGACAGGUGCCUGAAUUAGGCCCGAGGGUUGUUCCAUACCAGGUGAUGCCAUGCUGAAGGCCAUAAGGCUGUGGGGAGUUGACUGAAGGUGGCAGCUACUUGGAGGUUGUGGGGCAUUAGUCAGCGGGGAUGAGACCUUGCACUGGUAGUGGAGUGUGGUAUUGUUGCUAUGUGUUGGCAAGUGUAUGGCAGCUAUUAUAUAUAAUUAUCCUUGUAUUUUUGUUUCCAUUUUCCUCUUCUUAGUACAUAAUUUUUAUCUUAACCCAUGAGUUUUAUUUUGUUUCCAGUCUCUCCCUCAUCCCACCUGGAGGUUGCAGUGAGUGAAUGGCUGGUGCUGAGCUGCUGCCAGGUUAAGGCACAGCACCAACAGUGCCCAGGUGAUCAUGAAUAGAAAUAAUUGAAAAUCUGAGUUUGUUGGUUCACAAUACAGCAACAAAACUUUAAACAGAGGAAACUUUAUUCCAAAAGAAAACUCUGUAUCCCCCCGAGAACACCUGAGGGACUAAGUCAUAACACUAUAAGCAGCCUUGGUAUACAAAGGGAACAAAAGUCAGAAAUUAAAUGCACGGAAGAAUACAAAUGCAGCAGCACUGAUUCAUCUGAAUACAGAGAAAAAGGUCUUCAAGUGAGAUGGCUGCCAGAAGAUAAAAAGGAUUUGAUUAAAAUAUGUCACUAA
rnacentral:lncRNA from 1 species